GUAGGUGAACCUGCGGAAGGAUCAUUAACACUUUUUUGUCAAUACAAAAUUCUUUUCUUAUAUCUAAACACACCUGGUUGAAACGUGAAACAAACAAAUAAUCAUUCUUUUUUGAACUCCCAACGAGUCGUAUUGAAAUUGAACAAACAAACCAACAAAACAUUAAACAAAAACAAAAACCAAAUAAACAUAAAAAAAAACAACUCUUAACAAUGGAUAUCUUGGUUCUC
rnacentral:misc_RNA from 1 species